rnacentral:rRNA from 1 species
GGCGGUCUGUCAAGUCGGAUGUGAAAUCCCCGGGCUCAACCUGGGAACUGCAUUCGAAACUGGCAGGCUAGAGUCUUGUAGAGGGGGGUAGAAUUCCAGGUGUAGCGGUGAAAUGCGUAGAGAUCUGGAGGAAUACCGGUGGCGAAGGCGGCCCCCUGGACAAAGACUGACGCUCAGGUGCGAAAGCGUGGGGAGCAAACAGGAUUAGAUACCCUGGUAGUCCACGCCGUAAACGAUGUCGAUUUGGAGGUUGUGCCCUUGAGGCGUGGCUUCCGGAGCUAACGCGUUAAAUCGACCGCCUGGGGAGUACGGCCGCAAGGUUAAAACUCAAAUGAAUUGACGGGGGCCCGCACAAGCGGUGGAGCAAUGUGGUUUAAUUCGAUGCAACGCGAAGAACCUUACCUGGUCUUGACAUCCACAGAACUUACCAGGAGAUGCUUUGGUGCCUUCGGGAAACUGUGAGACAGGUGCUGCAUGGCUGUCGUCAGCUCGUGUUGUGAAAAUGUUGGGGUUAAGUCCCGCAACGAGCGCAACCCUUAUCCUUUGUUGCCAGCGGUUUCGGCCGGGAACUCAAAG